rnacentral:rRNA from 1 species
GACGAACGCUGGCGGCGUGCCUAAUACAUGCAAGUAGGACGCAGUUGCGAACGGGUGAGUAACGCGUAGGUAACUACCUAUUAGAGGGGGAUAACUAUUGGAAACGAUAGCUAAUACCGCAUACUAGUAGAUGGACCUGCGUUGUAUUAGCUAGUAGGUAGGGUAAUGGCCUACCUAGGCAACGAUAAAUAGCCGGCCUGGGAUGGUGACCGGCCAAACUGGGACUGAGACACGGCUCAAGCUCCUACGGGAGGCAGCAGGAGGGGAUCUUCGGCCAUGGGGGGAACCCUGACCGAGCACCGCCGCGUGAGUGAAGAAGGUUUUCGGAUCGGAAAGCUCUGUUGUUAAGGAAGCGGUACUUAACCAGAAAGGGACGGCUAACUACGUGCCAGCAGCCGCGGUAAUAC